AAAAGCCCAAACGAAGGAAAACCGAAAAGCAAGGAAAACCUAAAUAUCUUAAAUCGAAUGUGUUCCCUUAACAAGGAAAACCCUAACAUGCAUUGCCACCAAUGUCAAAUCCAAAAAUGACGAUCUGUGCUCUGCUCCGGCAACGUUCUGCACCAGCGACUGCUCCAGCAACGAUCUGCUCCAGUGAAUGAUCCGGCGAUGAUCUGCUCCAGCGAAUGCUCUGGCAACGAUUUUCUCAGCGUUCUCCUCCGACGAGAUUGUGUGCUGUGAACUGAAACGCUGUUUCCAGCGAUGAUCUUCUCUGGUGGCGCGUUCUUCUCCUUCAGCGAGCUUUUAUGAUUUGGAUUUGAUAUGAAGAUUGCCGCUCAUCUUAUCGCCAUCAUUCAUCUCUGUGCCAUCGCAAGCAACACCGUUUUCAAUCUGGCUCAUCUCUUGACCGUGGCAAGCAACGCCGUUGUUGCUGCCUUCAGCAAGCUUCUACAGUUCGGUUUCGCGAUCUCUAUAACCUCUAAUAGAUUCUGGUCCCUAGGAUUGAAACCAUGAUAAAGCAACAAAGGUCAGACAUAAGCAACCUUGGAAAAUCUUGUCAGCAAGCAGAAGAUGCUCUUUCACAAGGCAAGGACAAACUUCAACAAAUGGUUUUAGAAUCUGUAAUAGCAGGACAACUUGAAGAACAAACUAACACUCCAAACAUGUCUACUGCAAUGGAGAGAUUAAUAGGUCUAGUGAGCUUUGUGAACCAAGUACACAGGAAGAGGUAUUUUUGUGGAUCCUCCUUCUGUCUUCAUGAGCAAUAAUACGUGGAGUCUUUUGUUGCCUGAAGGGUUUUAGAUUGAAAAUAUGAAACUUGGUAACAUUAGUAAGUUCCAAAAUUCCAACACUAAUUCCUUUCUUGUUUAGAAUAUCAUCAUAUUCUUUGUUGACAUUUUCACAGCCUUUACUUCACGUGACAAAAUAUUUCUCAAGGGCAGGGAUACUUCUGAAGUUGCUGCAGUCUAUUCAUCUUACAUAUCAAAACUAAGAUGAUUUCUGGGGAUAUAGUCAUAUAGGGAUACUAAUAGAGAUAAUUUCUGCUCCACUGAAACCUAAGAGAACAUAAAGUUACAGUAUAAUAGGUCCAUUUUGUAAAGUGUUUUGUGCUAAAGUUGUUUACGGGUGUAUAUGGUCCGGCUCGGUCUGAAAAUCUAGUCUGGAUCUGAAUAUUUUAGAGACUAAUUGAGUGUGAUUUCAAUGGAUCUAGAGGUACGGGUCUUAAAAAUAGACCCGAUUAUUAUUUAGGGUGGAAUUCGGGUUAAGGCGAACCCGGCUUUAUCCAAACUAUGUGCACCCUAAGAAAAUUAAAAAAAGUACAUAUGUUUUAAAUUAA